CAGGAAAGCUAGCAAUUUAGCCUUGACCUUUGGCUUCAAUGUUAAAUAAUUGACAUUUCAAGUAUGCAUGAUUGAUUGGAUGUUAAAAAUUUUGUUUUCAUUAUUAUACAGAUGAAUAUGAAGUUUGUUAAGUACGUGUAAAAUCAAAAGAGGGUAGGUCAUGUGCUAUUAGGACUGUAGUGUGACUUGACCUCUGAACCCAAGG
rnacentral:lncRNA from 1 species